CACGUAGGGGCGAGCGUUGUCCGGAUUUAUUGGGCGUAAAGAGCUCGUAGGCGGCUCACUAAGUCGGGUGUGAAAUUUCGAGGCUCAACCUCGAAACGCCACCCGAUACUGGUGUGGCUAGAGUCGGUAGGGGAGCGUGGAAUUCCUGGUGUAGCGGUGAAAUGCGCAGAUAUCAGGAGGAACACCAGCGGCGAAGGCGGCGCUCUGGGCCGGUACUGACGCUGAGGAGCGAAAGCGUGGGAUCAAACAGG
rnacentral:rRNA from 1 species